rnacentral:rRNA from 1 species
ACAUGCAAGUCGAGCGGCAGCGGAAAGUAGCUUGCUACUUUGCCGGCGAGCGGCGGACGGGUGAGUAAUGUCUGGGAAACUGCCUGAUGGAGGGGGAUAACUACUGGAAACGGUAGCUAAUACCGCAUAAUGUCGCAAGACCAAAGAGGGGGACCUUCGGGCCUCUUGCCAUCAGAUGUGCCCAGAUGGGAUUAGCUGGUAGGUGGGGUAACGGCUCACCUAGGCGACGAUCCCUAGCUGGUCUGAGAGGAUGACCAGCCACACUGGAACUGAGACACGGUCCAGACUCCUACGGGAGGCAGCAGUGGGGAAUAUUGCACAAUGGGCGCAAGCCUGAUGCACCCAUGCCGCGUGUAUGAAGAAGGCCUUCGGGUUGUAAAGUACUUUCAGCGGGGAGGAAGGUGUUGUGGUUAAUAACCACAGCAAUUGACGUUACCCGCAAAAGAAGCACCGGCUAACUCCGUGCCAGCAGCCGCGGUAAUACGGAGGGUGCAAGCGUUAAUCGGAAUUACUGGGCGUAAAGCGCACGCAGGCGGUCUGUCAAGUCAGAUGUGAAAUCCCCGGGCUCAACCUGGGAACUGCAUUCGAAACUGGCAGGCUGGAGUCUUGUAGAGGGGGGUAGAAUUCCAGGUGUAGCGGUGAAAUGCGUAGAGAUCUGGAGGAAUACCGGUGGCGAAGGCGGCCCCCUGGACAAACACUGACGCUCGCGUGCGAAAGCGUGGAGAGCAAACAGGAUUAGAUACGCUGGUAGUCCACGCCGUAAACGAUGUCGACUUGGAGGUUGUGCCCUUGAGGCGUGGCUUCCGGAGCUAACGCGUUAACUCGACCGCCUGGGGAGUACUGCCGAAGGAUAAAACUCAAAUGAAUUCGACGGGGCCCGCACUAGCGAUGGCAGCAUGUUGUUUUAAUUCGAUGCAACGCGAAGAACCUUUACCUGCUCUGGACAUCCACGAGAAGUUCUUCAGAGAUGAUAUGUACCGUCAGAACCGUGAAAACAGGCGCCUGCAUGUCUGUCGUCAUCUCGUGUUGUAAAGUGUGGCUAAGUCCGCAACGAGCCGCACCGUUAUCUUUGUUGCAGUCGUAAGGCCGGGUAACCAAGAGAACUGGCAGUAUAAACUGGAAGAGGUGGGAUGACUCAAGUCUCAUGCUCUUACGCACGAGGACUACUCG